rnacentral:rRNA from 1 species
UUGCUGACCUCAAGGUCGUGCACGCCCGGAGUGCUCUCUCACAUCCAUCUCACCCCUUUGUGCAUCAUCGCGUGGGGCCCUCUCCUUUGGCUUGUUCCGGAAGGGGGGGGGUUCACGUUUUUACACGAACAACCCAUUAAUGCAUGUGUAAAAUGUCUUACUUUUUGCGGUCACACGCAAUCAAUACAACUUUCAACAACGGAUCUCUUGGCUCUCGCAUCGAUGAAGAACGCAGCGAAAUGCGAUACGUAAUGUGAAUUGCAGAAUUCAGUGAAUCAUCGAAUCUUUGAACGCACCUUGCGCCCCUUGGUAUUCCGAGGGGUGCACCCGUUUGAGUGUCGUGAACACCCUCAACCUUCUUGGUUUAUCGACCGGGAAGGCUUGGACUUUGGAGGUUUUUGUUGCUGGCCUCGUUUGAAGCCAGCUCCUCCUAAACGAAUUAUUGGGGUCCGCCGUGCCGACCCUCGACGUGAUAAGUACGCUUCUACGUCUUGGGGUUUCGCACUGUCGCCUGCUUCCAACCGUCUUCGAAUGAAGACAAUCUUAUAGACCUUGACCUCAAAUCGGGUGAGACUACCCGCUGAACUUAAGCAUAUCAAUAAGCGGAGGA